CCUACGGGGUGCAGCAGUGGGGGAUAUUGCACAAUGGGGGAAACCCUGAUGCAGCGACGCCGCGUGUGGGAAGACGGUCCUCUGGAUUGUAAACCACUGUCCCCAGGGACGAAGCUGACGGUACCUUGGGCGGAAGCGUCGGCUAACUACGUGCCAGCAGCCGCGGUAAUACGUAGGGAGCGAGCGUUGUCCGGAAUUACUGGGUGUAACGGGAGCGUAGGCGGGGAUGCAAGUUGGGUGUCAAAACUAGCGGCUCAACUGGUAGUCGCACUCAAAACUGCAGCUCUUGAGUGAAGUAGAGGCAGGCGGAAUUCCUAGUGUAGCGGUGAAAUGCGUAGAUAUUAGGAGGAACACCAGUGGCGAAGGCGGCCUGCUGGGCUUUUACUGACGCUGAGGCUCGAAAGUGUGGGGAGCAAACAGGAUUAGAUACCCCGGUAGUC
rnacentral:rRNA from 1 species